rnacentral:misc_RNA from 1 species
UACGAACCGUACGAACGUUAUUCGGAAUCACUGGGCUUAAAGCGUGCGUAGGCGGCCUGGAAAGUUGGGUGUGAAAUCCCUCGGCUCAACCGAGGAAUUGCGCCCAAAACUACCAGACUUGAGGGAGGUAGAGGUAAGCGGAACUAAUGGUGGAGCGGUGAAAUGCGUUGAUAUCAUUAGGAACACCUGUGGCGAAAGCAGCUUACUGGGCCUCUUCUGACGCUGAGGCACGAAAGCUAGGGGAGCGAAUGGG